GAUGAACGCUGACAGAAUGCUUAACACAUGCAAGUCAACUUGAACUUCGGUUUGGGUGGCGGACGGGUGAGUAACGCGUAAAGAACUUGCCUCACAGAUAGGGACAACAUUUGGAAACGAAUGCUAAUACCUGAUAUUAUGAUUUUAGGGCAUCCUAGGAUUAUGAAAGCUAUAUGCGCUGUGAGAGAGCUUUGCGUCCCAUUAGCUAGUUGGAGAGGUAACGGCUCACCAAGGCGAUGAUGGGUAGCCGGCCUGAGAGGGUGAUCGGCCACAAGGGGACUGAGACACGGCCCUUACUCCUACGGGAGGCAGCAGUGGGGAAUAUUGGACAAUGGACCAAGAGUCUGAUCCAGCAAUUCUGUGUGCACGAUGAAGUUUUUCGGAAUGUAAAGUGCUUUCAGUUGGGAAGAAAAAAAUGACGGUACCAACAGAAGAAGUGACGGCUAACUCCGUGCCAGCAGCCGCGGUAAUACGGGGGGUGCAAGCGUUACUCGGAAUCACUGGGCGUAAAGGACGCGUAGGCGGAUUAUCAAGUCUUUUGUGAAAUCUAGUGGCUUAACCACUAAACUGCUUAGGAAACUGAUAGUCUAGAGUAGGGGAGAGGUAGAUGGAAUUCUUGGUGUAGGGGUAAAAUCCGUAGAGAUCAAGAAGAAUACCCAUUGCGAAAGCGAUCUGCUGGAACCUAACUGACGCUGAGGCGUGAAAGCGUGGGUAGCAAACAGG
rnacentral:rRNA from 1 species